ACAAAUUAGGGAAGUUCUGCAGCCCUCUUAUGAAGCCUAUAUGCCACCUUCUCUCUGAUACCCUGCUUGAUAUGGAUCUGGAAGAGAAGUAAUAAAGAUACUUCUAAACUCCUGUCUUUCUCAUCUAAGAGAAAAAUUGGAGACUGAGAGGUCUUCUCCAUGUCUGGAUAUGUUUCUCUAUCUUCUUUAAGUAUACAGAAACCUGAUAUGGAGGAAGGCGGAAUAUGCUUGAUUCUACCAGGAAUGGUGUGCAUGAGAUGACAGCAGUGGUUGGAGUGGGGAAGAUUAAGGAGAAGAAAUCCUGCUUUCAUGAAUUGAGAAGAAUGAUUUUACAUGUCAAAAUUUUGCCUUAAAUAUUUCACUCCAUGCAGAGGGA
rnacentral:lncRNA from 1 species